rnacentral:rRNA from 1 species
UAGCUGCAGAUUUGACGUUAGCGACAGAAGAAGACACCGGCUAACUCCGUGCCAGCAGCCGCGGUAAUACGGAGGGUGCGAGCGUUAAUCGGAAUUACUGGGCGUAAAGACGCAUGCAGGUGGUUUGUUAAGUUCAGAUGUGAAAGACCCGGGGCGUCAACCUCGGAAUAGCAUUUGAAACUAGGCAGACUAGAGUACUGUAGAGGGGGUAGGAAGUUUCAGGUGUAGCGGUGAAAUGCGUAGAGAUCUGAAGGAAUACCGGUGGCGAAGGCGGCCCCCUCGGACAGAUACUGACACUCAGAUGCGAAAGCGUGGGGAGCAAACAGGAUUAGAUACCCUGGUAG